GAUGAACGCUAGCGGCAGGCCUAACACAUGCAAGUCGAGGGAGAGGUUACCUUCGGGUCACCAAAACCGGCGCACGGGUGCGUAACGCGUAUACAAUCUGCCUUUCACAUAGGGAUAGCCCGAAGAAAUUUGGAUUAAUACCUAAUGGUAUAUAAGAGCGGCAUCGUUUUUAUAUUAAAGCUACGGUGGUGAAAGAUGAGUAUGCGUUCUAUUAGCUAGUUGGAGAGGUAACGGCUCCCCAAGGCGACGAUAGAUAGGGGUUCUGAGAGGGAUGUCCACCACACUGGUACUGAGGUACGGACCAGACUCCUACGGGAGGCAGCAGUGAGGAAUAUUGGACAAUGGUCGGAAGACUGAUCCAGCCAUGCCGCGUGCAGGAUGAAGGUCCUAUGGAUUGUAAACUGCUUUUGUAAGGGAAGAAUAAGGAGUACGUGUACUUUGAUGACGGUACCUUACGAAUAAGCAUCGGCUAACUCCGUG
rnacentral:rRNA from 1 species